ensembl:snoRNA SNORA16B small nucleolar RNA, H/ACA box 16B
UACGGCCUUUAUCAAAGCUGCAGCUGCUUCCACAUAGCUGCUGUGGUCAAAAAGAAGCCGAGAGUGACAGUUUUCCUUGAAUGGUCAUAGUUCUGUUUGCUGUAACUGAUCUGCAACAUUUUGGGAAAAUAUAGUU